rnacentral:lncRNA from 1 species
AAGGAAAGAGGGGUUGGAGGGGGUGUGGGUCAAGAAUCAUAUAACCAUGGGAAAUAUUCUAAAUAAUAAAAUGGUGGAAAAUAAAUACUUUACAUGAUGACAGAAUAUCAGAGUUGUAUGAGAUCUAAGGGGCCAUCUUGUCUCACCUCUUUCUAAAAAGGAAUCUUCAUUACAACAUGCCUGACAAGUGGGCUUAUAGAGUCUUCUAGAAUUCUUCUUCCAGAGAAAGGUAAUCUGAUACUUUUGGAGGCUUUGAGUGCCUCAAAAGGACAGGAGUUGAAGCAGGACAAGUGAGAGUGCCAUCCCACUGAAUACAAUACAAUACAAUACAAUACAACGUGAAAGUCUGUGAAAUAGGAAGAGAGGGAGGGAAGGAGGAAGAAAGGAGGGGAAGAAGGAAGACAGGAAAGAAAGAAGGAAGGAAGACAGGAAAGAAGGAAGGAAGGAAGCAAGGAAGGAAGAAAGAAGAAAGGAAAGAAAAAAGAAGCUCCGUCAUAGGAACAAAGAAAGUUUCCAGAUAGUGCCUUGAUAUCUAAGAUCCUUGAGGAGGGAGAUUCCCCUUCCAAACAAUAACUACUCUCUUCCCUCUUCACCAUCUUCCAUAUGCCAAGAAGAGUCUUCAGAAGAGUGA